rnacentral:rRNA from 1 species
AUUGAACGCUGGCGGAAUGCUUUACACAUGCAAGUCGAACGGUAGAGGGGGCAACCCCUUGAGAGUGGCGAACGGGUGAGUAAUAUAUCGGAACGUGCCCAGUCGUGGGGAUAACGUAGCGAAAGCUACGCUAAUACCGCAUACGAUCUAUGGAUGAAAGCGGGGGAUCGCAAGACCUCGCGCGAUUGGAGCGGCCGAUAUCAGAUUAGGUAGUUGGUGAGGUAAAGGCUCACCAAGCCGACGAUCUGUAGCUGGUCUGAGAGGCCGACCAGCCACACUGGGACUGAGACACGGCCCAGACUCCUACGGGAGGCAGCAGUGGGGAAUUUUGGGACAAUGGGCGCAAGCCUGAUCCAGCAAUGCCGCGUGCAGGAUGAAGG